CCUACGGGGUGCAGCAGUGAGGAAUAUUGGUCAAUGGACGAGAGUCUGAACCAGCCAAGUAGCGUGAAGGAUGACUGCCCUAUGGGUUGUAAACUUCUUUUAUAUGGGAAUAAAAUGUUCCACGUGUGGGAUUUUGUAUGUACCAUAUGAAAAGGAAUGGGCAACCUCGGGCCCGGAGCCGCGGGAAAUAGGGGGAUCCGAGCGUUAUCCGGAUUUAUUGGGUUUAAAGGGAGCGUAGGUGGAUUGUUAAGUUAGUUGUGAAAGUUUGCGGCUCAACCGGAAAAUUGCAGUUGAAACUGGCAGUCUUGAGUACAGUAGAGGUGGGCGGAAUUCGUGGUGUAGCGGUGAAAUGCUUAGAUAUCACGAAGAACUCCGAUUGCGAAGGCAGCUCACUGGACUGCAACUGACACUGAGGCUCGAAAGUGUGGGUAUCAAACAGGAUUAGAUACCCUGGUAGUC
rnacentral:rRNA from 1 species